rnacentral:rRNA from 1 species
CCUACGGGAGGCAGCAGUAAGGAAUAUUGGUCAAUGGAGGCAACUCUGAACCAGCCAUGCCGCGUGCAGGAAGAAGGCCCUAUGGGUCGUAAACUGCUUUUGUACCAGAGAAAACCCGAGUACGUGUACUCGGUUGAUAGUAUGGUAAGAAUAAGCAUCGGCUAACUUCGUGCCAGCAGCCGCGGUAAGACGAAGGAUGCAAGCGUUAUCCGGAUUCAUUGGGUUUAAAGGGUGCGUAGGCGGACUGAUAAGUCAGUGGUGAAAUCUCUCGGCUUAACCGAGAAACUGCCAUUGAUACUGUUAGUCUAGAGUAUAGAUGACGUUGGCGGAAUAUGACAUGUAGUGGUGAAAUACUUAGAUAUGUCAUAGAACACCGAUUGCGAAGGCAGCUAACGAAACUAUAACUGACGCUGAGGCACGAAAGUGCGGGGAUCAAACAGGAUUAGAUACCCUGGUAGUCCGCACCGUAAACGAUGAUUACUCGUUGUUGGCAAUAUGACCGUCAGCGACCAAGCGAAAGCGAUAAGAAUCCACCUGGGGAGUACGCCGGNAACGGUUGAAACUUAANAGAUUGCGNNGNGAGNGCGAGACGACGACGAGGAGGAGG